rnacentral:rRNA from 1 species
AACGUAGGAGACAAACGUUAUCCGGAGUUACUGGGCGUAAAGGGCGUGUAGGUGGUUGCGUAAGUCUGGCGUGAAAUUUUUCGGCUUAACCGGGAAAGGUCGUCGGAUACUGCGUAACUAGAGGACGGUAGAGGCGUGUGGAAUUCCGGGUGUAGUGGUGAAAUGCGUAGAGAUCCGGAGGAACACCAGUGGCGAAGGCGACACGCUGGGCCGUACCUGACACUGAACCGCGACAGCAUGGGGAGCAAACAGG